UCCCUGGUAGUCCAGUGGAUAAGACUCUGCACUCCCAAUGCAGGGGCCAUGGGUUUGAUUCCUGAUCAGGAAC
rnacentral:tRNA from 1 species